GACCUGGAACUAAAGUGGCUUCCAGCAUUCGAUCUGAGGCACUGGCAGGAAAGGCAAAGCAGCCAUAUCUGAACCACAGCAAUGCCCCCACCCCCCUUGCAGAUUAACUUCAUAGGAAAAUGUUAGAGAAAAUUUAUUUCUCUAUAGCUGUGCCUAUUAAUGGCUUUUGGAAUGGACAGAUACAUAAGCCAAUCAGAGGGCAGCUAAUAUGUUUGAAUCUCCAGGGUCCUACCCUAACUGUCAUAGUUAGCAGUAUAAAAGGAGAUUCUUGUCAGAAACUCUGCUCUUCGAUCUUCACUCGUCUUAGCUAUUUGGUCUUAGGUCUUAAGUCUGAACUUUUCUAGCAUCUUCCUUUAAACAACUGUGAGCAGUUUGGAAGUCUGUUAGAAGAGCAGUUCUGGUGGUUUAUAAUAAUAUUUCUUCUGAGGAAGAAUAGUCAUAGAUAACAUAGUUUAGAGAGAAUAGAUAUAGAUAUAGAUAUAUAGCUGACAGGAUAAUUAAUCAUAGUAACUAAGUGCUGUUUAUUAAUUGUAUAGAUAUUGUUAUGUUUUUAUUAUGUAAAUAAAAACAUUUACUGUUAAAUGAUUUAAAGGCUCAUUUGUUAAAGUAGAAAUUCAUAGAGACAAAGGUUCACGGUUCAUUGAUUUUAUUAACCUCCACAACAGAAAAGAAGGCCCUUCCCCAGUCAAAGUUCCCAGGGUGUUUUAGUUCUCUCUAGGAACCAGACAGACACUGGAGAGGCUCCUUUCCAAAAUUUUCCAUUUCAUCUCUGCUCCUCUUUUUCCAUUUUUUUUUCUAACCAAUGUAUUUCUCAUGGCAGAUGAUGAGGAAAAAUACAGCAUAAAAGAAAAUGAAGAACUGCGGGCCAAAAAAAGUUUCAGUGAGCACUGACUGAUUUGUGACGGGAAAGCACGUGCACUGAUUGCCCCAAGACAUUCUUCGUAUCUUCUCUAUGCUUCAGGAUUAACAGAGAAACAACAACCGCAGCCCUCCCACGCAGGAAACAACAAGAAAGGUCUUGACGCGAGCUGAGGACAUCCUAACCACACCCUGGAGGUGGCAAGUCCAUCCAAAUUGUUACCAGGAGAUUAAUAAAAACCACAUAUGAAAUUGA